rnacentral:lncRNA from 1 species
CUUGAUGAGUUAGAGUAGAAUUGUUCCGAUCCAUUGAAAAGAGUUUCAAUAAUACUUUGAUAGAGAUCAUUGUAUAUUUUACUAUCAGAUAGAAUUGAACCUAUGAGAUCAUACAACAAAGAAAUUAGGUCUGAAAUUAGCAAUUGAGCUUAUGAAAUGUCAAUUGGAUUUAAAAAAAUCUGAUUGGGUUCAGAGUAACCUUGGUAGCAC